GAAAACAGAAAAACAGCUUAAUGUUCCUUACAUCAUUAUCAAAAAUGAGCACACUGCACUAAAAUAAUGGACUCUACUGAUAAGCUAUAGCACCCAGUCUAAUGAGCACAGCGGAAAUCCAUUUGACCACACACAGUUAUUUAUGUGGUGCAAAAUCUGAGUGCACACUUGGGCAUUGGGUGAAAUCCCAUCCCACCAUGGCAACUAUAGCCAGAUAGGAGUCAAGGAAGUACUACACAAGGGUCAACAUUCAAAAGUGCUCCAAUCAUAUUGAAAAGUAUAUCACAUUAUUUUCCUGAUCAUAAAGACUCCAAAAAGGUACAGUUUGGACUUUCCAUGACUGAAUGUUAUGGAGUUAUGGAGUAAAAUUCCAGUUUAUACAGAGGUCAAAAAUUAAAGCUGCUCUAAUUUUGGUAAAAAGUGAUGCAAAUUGUUGGUUGAUGUAAUAUGAUUUUAAAAAGACAAUAGUUUGCACCUUCCGUUAUGCUUAGUUAUCACAUUACGGGGUAACAUAUGUCAUAGAAUCCAAUGUAUGUUGACCUUGUUUAACAAUUACUUUGCACACCAAGCAUUCAACAAGGUUAAAAUUAUUCCUUUUCUUAAUCCAAUUA